CCUACGGGAGGCAGCAGUGAGGAAUAUUGGUCAAUGGACGAGAGUCUGAACCAGCCAAGCCGCGUGAAGGAUGAAUGCCCAAUGGCUUGUAAACUUCUUUUAUCUGGGAAUAAAAUGUUCCACGUGUGGGAUGUUGUAUGUACCUUAUGAAUAAGGAUCGGCUAACUCCGUGCCAGCAGCCGCGGUAAUACGGAGGAUCCGAGCGUUAUCCGGAUUUAUUGGGUUUAAAGGGUGCGUAGGGGGAUUGUUAAGUCAGGUGUGAAAGGUCGCGGCUCAACCGUAAACUCGCAGUUGAAACUGGCAGUCUUGAGUACAGUAGAGGUGGGCGGAAUGCGUGGUGUAGCGGUGAAAUGCUUAGAUAUCACGCAGAACUCCGAUUGCGAAGGCAGCUCACUGGCCUGCAACUGACGCUGAGGCACGAAAGUAUGGGUAUCAAACAGGAUUAGAUACCCGGGUAGUC
rnacentral:rRNA from 1 species